rnacentral:lncRNA from 1 species
CACUGAUUUUAUUUUCAUUUUGUAAGGAGCGCCUCUCUCAGGCCUCUGUGCUGUAGCUGUUCUCUGGAGAACACCUGAUAGCGCCUUCAUUCCCUCCACUCUUGAGGGUUUUCAAUCAACACUAACCUUGGUAACUGGUGUCUGUGAGCUAAACACUCUGGGACAACAAUGCUGUGAGGAGAAAAAAGCCAUUAAUGGAGCUUUAAACUACCUGCAAAAAGUACCCAGGCAAGUGCUGUUUCCUUGCCACUGCUUUCACCCACUGUAAAACCCAAGGUGCCCCAUGUCAGGCUGAGCUCAGGAGAGCCUGUCGGAAUCUGUGGUAUUGAUGAUUCCGAGAUUGUAAAAAGUCUCUGUCUUUCUGCCCCAAAGAAGAAGCCAUAAUUCGUCUGUGCUGUUUUCAAGGUUGUUUAUUCUUGCUUAUCUCUAACAAGUUCUGCUGCCCUGCCACAGGUCUGUCCUGCAGGGCAG